rnacentral:sRNA from 1 species
ACAGAGGAGGUGGCGGUGGUGGCCCUCGCCUGUGGCCCCCGUGCUGCUUGCACUCGAACUCGUCGCCAUGGAGGAGCUCCAGGAGCCUCUGAGAGGACAGCUCCGGCUCUGCUUCACGCAAGCUGCCCGGACUAGCCUCUUACUGCUCAGGCUCAACGACGCUGCCCUGCGGGCGCUGCAAGAGUGUCAGCGGCAACAGGUACGGCCGGUGAUUGCUUUCCAAGGCCACCGAGGGGUAAGUGCAAGCUCAGGGUGUGUGAGCGAGGUGAGGGCGAGGGAGCAUAAACGUGGGCUGGAGGUGGAAGGUGCGGUCGGGGCCGGAGGCUGCGAGUGGUCACGGUCUGAGGUAGUUCCGAGAACUGAACUCCAAGUGGGGCGAGGAGGCUGCUGGGGUUGUCCCAGGGGGCUGUGGUUUGAGGGGACUGUACUGUUUCGGCCUCCUGGGGAACUCAGGCCCAGCUGCACCUGGUGUGCUAACAAGCCCUGUGGGACCCGUCUUAGUCUUACUUACGAACUGGCUCCCGGACGAGUGGCGGCGGCAGGAGGGGGAGGGGCUGACUUCAUGGGGCUUACC